rnacentral:rRNA from 1 species
GAUGAACGCUGGCGGCGUGCCUAAUACAUGCAAGUCGAGCGAACAGAUGAGGAGCUUGCUCCUCUGACGUUAGCGGCGGACGGGUGUGUAACACGUGGAUAACCUACCUAUAAGACUGGGAUAACUUCGGGAAACCGGCGCUAAUACCGGAUAAUAUAUUGAACCGCAUGGUUCAAUAGUGAAAGACGGUUUUGCUGUCACUUAUAGAUGGAUCCGCGCCGCAUUAGCUAGUUGGUAAGGUAACGGCUUACCAAGGCAACGAUGCGUAGCCGACCUGAGAGGGUGAUCGGCCACACUGGAACUGAGACACGGUCCAGACUCCUACGGGAGGCAGCAGUAGGGAAUCGUACGCAAUGGGCGAAAGCCUGACGGAGCAACGCCGCGUGAGUGAUGAAGGUCUUCGGAUCGUAAAACUCUGUUAUUAGGGAAGAACAAAUGUGUAAGUAACUAUGCACGUCUUGACGGUACCUAAUCAGAAAGCCACGGCUAACUACGUG